AUUGAACGCUGGCGGCAUGCUUUACACAUGCAAGUCGAGCGGUAACAGGCCGCAAGGUGCUGACGAGUGGCGAACGGGUGAGUAAUGCAUCGGAACGUGCCCAGUCGUGGGGGAUAACGCAGCGAAAGCUGUGCUAAUACCGCAUACGAUCUAUGGAUGAAAGCGGGGGACCGUAAGGCCUCGCGCGAUUGGAGCGGCCGAUGUCAGAUUAGCUAGUUGGUGGGGUAAAGGCCCACCAAGGCGACGAUCUGUAGCUGGUCUGAGAGGACGACCAGCCACACUGGGACUGAGACACGGCCCAGACUCCUACGGGAGGCAGCAGUGGGGAAUUUUGGACAAUGGGCGCAAGCCUGAUCCAGCAAUGCCGCGUGCAGGAAGAAGGCCUUCGGGUUGUAAACUGCUUUUGUACGGAACGAAACGGUCUGGGUUAAUACCCUGGGCUAAUGACGGUACCGUAAGAAUAAGCACCGGCUAACUACGUGCCAGCAGCCGCGGUAA
rnacentral:rRNA from 1 species